GGCCUUGACAUACUAAGAACUUUCCAGAGAUGGAUUGGUGCCUUCGGGAACUUAGAUACAGGUGCUGCAUGGCUGUCGUCAGCUCGUGUCGUGAGAUGUUGGGUUAAGUCCCGNAACGAGCGCAACCCUUUUUCCUUAUUUGCCAGCGGGUCAUGCCGGGAACUUUAAGGAUACUGCCAGUGACAAACUGGAGGAAGGCGGGGACGACGUCAAGUCAUCAUGGCCCUUACGGCCAGGGCUACACACGUGCUACAAUGGUCGGUACAAAGGGUUGCUACCUCGCGAGAGGAUGCUAAUCUCAAAAAGCCGAUCGUAGUCCGGAUCGCAGUCUGCAACUCGACUGCGCGAAGUCGGAAUCGCUAGUAAUCGCGGAUCAGAAUGCCGCGGUGAAUACGUUCCCGGGCCUUGUACACACCGCCCGUCACACCAUGGGAGUUUGUUGCACCAGAAGUAGGUAGUCUAACCGCAAGGAGGACGCUUACCACGGUGUGGCCGAUGACUGGGGUGAAGUCGUAACAAGGUAAGCGUAGAUGA
rnacentral:rRNA from 1 species